CCUACGGGAUGCAGCAGUGAGGAAUAUUGGUCAAUGGACGCAAGCCUGAACCAGCCAUGCCGCGUGCAGGAAGACGGCUCUAUGAGUUGUAAACUGCUUUUGUACGAGGGUAAACGCAGAUACGUGUAUCCGUCUGAAAGUAUCGUACGAAUAAGGAUCGGCUAACCCCGGGACAGCCGCCGCGGUAAUACGGAGGAUUCAAGCGUUAUCCGGAUUUAUUGGGGUUAAAGGGUGCGUAGGCGGGCGGGCAAGUUAGAGGUGAAAUCCCGGGGCUCAACUUCGGAAUUGCCUUUGAUACUGUUCGGCUAGAGAGUAGUUGCGGUAGGCGGAAUGUAUGGUGUAGCGGUGAAAUGCUUAGAUAUCAUACAGAACACCGAUUGCGAAGGCAGCUUACCGAGCUACUUCUGACGUUGAGGCACGAAAGCGUGGGGAGCAAACAGGAUUAGAUACCCUAGUAGUC
rnacentral:rRNA from 1 species